rnacentral:rRNA from 1 species
GGGCCCGCACAAGCGGUGGAGCAUGUGGUUUAAUUCGAUGAUACGCGAGGAACCUUACCAGGGCUUAAAUGGGAGAUGACAGGGGCAGAGACGCCCUUUUCUUCGGACAUCUUUCAAGGUGCUGCAUGGUUGUCGUCAGCUCGUGCCGUGAGGUGUCAGGUUAAGUCCUAUAACGAGCGCAACCCCUACCGUUAGUUGCCAGCGAUUCAAGUCGGGGACUCUAACGGGACUGCCGGUGCAAACCGUGAGGAAGGUGGGGACGACGUCAAAUCAUCACGGCCCUUACGUCCUGGGCUACACACGUGCUACAAUGGUCGGUACAGAGGGAAGCUACCCCGUAAGGGGAUGCGGAUCUAUAAAACCGAUCUCAGUUCGGAUUGAGGUCUGCAACUCGACCUCAUG